rnacentral:lncRNA from 1 species
CCUUGUAUGUAUGUGCUUAAACUGUCCUGAGUCAAGAGUUGGUAUGGAUGCGGGUUGGACUGGACCCAUUUGCACUCAUGACAAGCACGUGGUAAACUUUGAAAUUACAGUAAGAAAACCUUGGAAUUACAGUAAUAAAACCUAGGAAUUAUAGUAGCACCUGUCAACUACAGAUUAUACAGAAACAACUGAACCAAAAUACACACUGCCUAUCAUACAGAUGACUACACACUGAAGCAACAUACACACGGCCCUAUCCAUAGUUCAACAUCUCACCGAUGCAAAAAGGCCUUCUUCUCCUCAUUGUUGUUUCGCAGUCUGAAAAAAGGAUCAAACAAGAAAAUAGACCAAUCAUGAAGAUAUACAACAAAAAGAGAAGCAAUUCACACUGACCCAAAAAGCUGAGAAUACAUAUUACAACAUACAGUUAAUGAUGCAGACGAGUACAGUAAUUAAGCAACUUUCAGCCAAAAGUAGAACUGAAAAAAGGAAUUCAUGAGCCUCUUUACUGUAAAUUUAAAGUAUAAAGAUAGAAGUUCUUUAUCAACAAAGAAAUCAGUAACUAGAAUUUAUGCAUGCCGUUGAACUCACUGAAAAGCAUAUCAUUGGCAUACUUUAUCCUUAAGUUGGGAAUGACAGGGCGAGAAGUGCAUGGAUGAACCCGGAUACAUAUGAACCCACUUUGAGAAACACAUUUCUAAAUUCUAAAAGAAUCUGGAAAAAAAAUUGCACGGGUACGUCUCCAUGUUCUAUGUGCGUGCAUAAAGUUUCACAGAAAAAUAACUUUUUUCGUGGCCUGCGCAAAAAGACAAAAAAUUAUGUUGUGAAACACUAUUUAGAAGCACUGAAAUUUGUCUUUUUUGCAGAGGCAAAACAAAAAGACAUUUUUUUAUAAAACUUUGUGCCGCGUACACACAUUUGCGAACAUGUAUGCGUGAUAUUUUCUUUUGAUUUUUUGACAUUUUAAAACGUGCUUAAAAUGCAUUUUAUGAGAAGUGGGUGCAUAUGCCCAUGGGUUCAGAUGGUGCCCUCUCAGGACAAGGGCUGGAAAAAUGGUUAUCAACUAGAGUCCUUGUGGUCCUCACUUCGAUAAACAUGAAUAAAGGAAGAAAAACAAAAAUACCAACAAUGUAAAUAAGGAAAAUCAGGUCAGCCAUAGUAAAAAACAAAUUACCUAUUGGUCUGGUUGGGAACAGCUAGGAAGACAUCAUCAAUUUUAUCAAAAUCAAUUCAUUUCCUCAACAUGGGAGUAAUAAAAGUAUCCCAAAAUCCUAUGAAGUUUGUAAUCUGUUCAAAUAAAAGAAAACACAAGAGAUAAAUCUUAAAAGAUAACAACACAGUGCUUUCAAAAAGGAAACUAAUUUAUAAACAAAUUGAUUAAAACAAUGUACUAUGGAUCGUGAAUCUGCAAGUGAAAUUCAGAAUGCUCAUUAAAAGCCAGAUCAAGGAAAGCUAAGGCUCUUUCCUUAAAACAAACCAUGAAAGAAAACCAAUGCUUUCGAAUGGUUAUAGGGAAGCACAGCUGCAACGUGGAAGAAUAAUAUGAAGAAAAAUGUAUAUAGAGGAAAUAAAAAAUAAAUGCACCUAGGAAGUACAGCUGUAAAUGUAUCGUCAUUACCAAGCCAGAUCAAGAGAGAUUUGAGGGAGAUGCUUGCAGAGAGGGAAGGAGGGACAACCGCAACAAGAAAUUUGGGGAGAACUAUAGAAGAUCAUACAAGAGACGAUCCACAGAUCAGAAAUCUUUCAAUUCCAACUUCUUUUCUCAUGCCUAGUGAAUUUCUUUGAGAUCGAAGGACCUGUAAAAUCACAAGGCAGAAAAGCACAGAUCAUAAAUCCUUUCUAUUCCACAUAGUGUAUCACACAGAGCACUGUAGUUAAAAUUAAAGAAACUGGUCAAUUUUGUUUCGAAAGCACGAUGGCAAAGAAUUUAAAUUUACAGUAGCAAAAAUACUGAAAUUACUAUUAUCAAGUUGCUGAAAAUAGUAGGCAAGCAGAAUUUCCUGUGCACAGCGAAGUUUCUGACACAAAGGUAGAUUCAGUAUAUUUUGAGUGUGUGAUUAGAUGCAACAUUAUUCAACAAAGACAGUGUGAUUUAAAGUCUAAUUACCAAUGUAAUUAUACUGAAAUUAUACUGAAUGUAAAUACAGUAAAUAUCCCAGUAUAAUUAUUGUAAAUAUUGCACUGUGAUUACCCCUGGAAAUUACACCAUAACAACACUGUAAAAUAUAGUUAAAUUGCACAGUAAUUACAGUAAAAUGGCACUAUGAUUUACAUUGUAAUUAUCCUGAAAAAUACACUGCCGUUACUCUGAAAUUCCACUGUAAGAACACUAUAAUUACAAUGUAAUUUCAGAGGAAAUUACACUGUAAUUAAAAUGGAAUUACAGUCAUGAAGCUGCUGUAAACUUAGAUGCAACACUACCUAAAACAUAGAAAAAGAAAAGAAAAGGGUAUACAAUGGAUGCAAAUACUACCCAACUAAGACAAACCACGCAGAAAAAGGUUCUAAAAUGCUUGAAGACACAACAUAGACAAACCCAACUAAGACAAACCACGCAGAAAAAGGUUCUAAAAUACUUGAAGAUACAACAUAGACAAACCGCAAAAAUUACUUUAAUUGAAUUGAAAAUUUCAUUGUGAUCUAGUGUAACUAAACUGAAAAUAGCACUGCAAUUGCAGUGAUUGUAAACUAAAAUCACAGAAGUUACAGUAGACAUUGCACUGUGAUUACCUCUGGAAAUUACACUGUAAUCACAGUGCCACUUGCCUAUAUAUUUCAGAGGAAAUUACACUGUAAUUAAAAUGAAACUACAGUAACGAAUUUGAUGCGAUUGCUACCUAAUAACGCAGGCCACUACAUCUAACAAAAAAAAGAUAGCGGAAUCAGACGUCCAGACGAACAGAUAAGAAAGUCGACAGGGGAAUCGGAUGCACCGCUACAUCCAUGCAUCUACCACUGCAAGUGCAACAAAAUCGCAAGCCAAAUCCACAUCUACGAAUGCACAUACACAUACAUCUACAUCAAACAACAGGAUAAUCAAAUCAAACAACUAGAUCUAGAAGAAAUACAACGGGGAAAGGGACAACAACCGAAGCGAGGAGGCACGGGAGCAGAAAUCAACCUGAAGAAAGAAGAGGGGGAGCCGAUCAGAAUCGCCAUGGACGAUGAGGCAAUCGCCAAGAGGUGCCUCCUUCGCUCCGCUGCUUUAAGAGCAUCUCCCCAACAGGCUCCCCAGUGCUAGCGCCGGUGGCGAAAAAUCGGCCCAGUCACGCCCCAGAUCGUUGUUUAUCGCCGGUUUGGGCCGAAAUAACAACCAGCAAAC